rnacentral:tRNA from 1 species
GGCCCGGUAGCGAAUGGGUAGAACGGAUAGCUGAAGACCAUCGCGUUGGCGGUUCGAGUCCGCCCCGGGCCACCG